AUGGUGUCUUCUUAUGUCAUAUAAAUUACAAUGUAUGUUAUUAUUCACAGUUCUGUAGUUUAUUUCGCCAUCGCCAUCUGUAUUUAUAUUAAAUGAUUGUCUAAAAUGUUAACUUGGCAUGCCAUACUUGGUAGAAAUGCGGACGUGAAAGAAAGCACUUUUCACAAAAGUGUCAUCGGAGAUUAAAACAUUCCAGGGCGACGAUUUCGUCAAUUAUGAAACAAAAUAAGUAUAUGCACUGUUUGAGUAUGAACCAGUUAUUAUAUUCAUUCACAAUUACGUUCCCAGAAUUUCUCUGAAGUUUGUCACAGUUCCGUCUAAUUUGGGUCAAAUUUCGACGGUCUGCUAAAAUGUCACUUUAAAUUCAAGAAUAAUGAAUUAUACAGGAAUAUCCUGUUUUCCU
rnacentral:lncRNA from 1 species